rnacentral:sRNA from 1 species
AGUCAAGAGUCUUUAGCGUCGUUUCGGCGAGCAGAUUUUCUUUGCCUAAGACAAGGCGAAGAACAUG